rnacentral:rRNA from 1 species
UACAGAGGGGGCAAGCGUUGUUCGGAAUUACUGGGCGUAAAGGGCGCGUAGGCGGCCUGUUAAGUCGAACGUGAAAUCCCUGGGCUCAACCCAGGAACUGCGUCCGAUACUGGCAGGCUUGAAUCCGGGAGAGGGAUGCGGAAUUCCAGGUGUAGCGGUGAAAUGCGUAGAUAUCUGGAGGAACACCGGUGGCGAAGGCGGCAUCCUGGACCGGCAUUGACGCUGAGGCGCGAAAGCGUGGGGAGCAAACGGG